rnacentral:rRNA from 1 species
AUACGGAGGAUCCGAGCGUUAUCCGGAUUUAUUGGGUUUAAAGGGAGCGUAGGCGGGAGAUCAAGUCAGCUGUGAAAUGUAGAUGCUCAACAUCUGCACUGCAGUUGAAACUGGUUUUCUUGAGUGCGUAAGGGGCAGGCGGAAUUCGUCGUGUAGCGGUGAAAUGCUUAGAUAUGACGAAGAACUCCGAUCGCGAAGGCAGCCUGCCGGGCCGCGACUGACGCUGAAGCUCGAAGGUGCGGGUAUCGGACAGGAUUAGAUACCCUGGUAGUCCGCACAGUAAACGAUGGAUACUCGCUGUCGGCGAUAUACGGUCGGUGGCCAAGCGAAAGCGUUAAGUAUCCCACCUGGGGAGUACGCCGGCAACGGUGAAACUCAAAGGAAUUGACGGGG